rnacentral:tRNA from 1 species
CCUUCGUCUAGAGGCCUAGGACACCGCCCUUUCACGGCGGUAACAGGGGUUCGAAUCCCCUAGG